GCCCGGAUGGUGGAAUCCGGUAGACACGCUCGCUUGAGGGGCGAGUGCCGCAAGGCAUUCCGGGUUCGACUCCCGGUUCGGGCACCA
rnacentral:tRNA from 1 species